CACCCCAGCCCCAGCCCCGUUCAGGAGGCAUUUAGGUGUCACAACCGCGGGCAUUUCAUUUAUCACUCUCUUUUAGUUUCACCGUGGUUUCUUUUCGGAUACGUGCCUGUGGAUGGUCUCCUGGCGUAACUCAGCAGUUGGGCAGAACGCAAAACUUGGAUCCAAGAUCAUUGUUAAGAAUAUACCAUAUGCAUUUAAGUUGUGUUACCUAACUCCUCCAAGUUAGAUGGCCAUCAGUAACAGUGAAAAGAUACUAAGAAACCCUACAGUUUGGAAUCAGGCCAUUCAGCCCAUCAAG